CUUGGAGUAGCUCAGGGGGAGAGCGGCCGGCUUCUACCCGGCAGGGCGCGGGUCCGAAUCCCGCCUCCAAGUCCA
rnacentral:tRNA from 1 species